CUAACUUUGAACAUUGAAGUGGGGAAAGGUUCCAUGUGAACAACACUUGGACAUGGGUUAGUCUAUCCUAAGAGAUGGGGAAGCCCUAUAUCAAGGGUUCACUCUGCAUGGACAUUGAAAGGGAAUCAGGUUAAUAUUCCCGAACUGGGACAUGACGGUGGAUGACAACGUUAAGAAAUUUGGAGACGUCGUCAGGGGCUCUAGGAAGAGUUAUAUUUUAUUUUUAAUGAAUUUCCCACCCUAAAAAUCGGUUCAACAGAAGAUAGGGUCCAAUAGUUGGAAAAAAAUUGCAUGUCUUGCGGUGUCUGAUGCCCCCUCGACGACCAUUGAAAAUCUAGAGGACCAAGUACUGUCCAUGCCCGGUCGUACUCAUAACUACAUUAGGUCUCUAAGGUGAACAACCUCUGGUCAAUAGAACAAUGUAUGUAAGGGAAGUCGACAAAACGGAUCCGUAACUUCGGGAAAAGGACUGGCUCUGAGGGUUGGGCCUAGGGGUCUGCGUAUUCAACCCAUGGGCAGUCAGUAGUCUUCCCAAGAUUCUCUCACGAUGAGGGUGGGAUAUCGUGUUCUGAUUGGGCUACAAACGUAGAAUGUCCCCUCGCGGAGGAUUUUCCAUAGGUGGUGAAAAAUCGACUCGGAACUGGUACGGAGAAGGGGAAUCCGACAGUUUAAUUAAAAAAAUCAUUGCGAUGGUCCCUGUGGAUGCUGACGCGAUGUGAUUUCUGCCCAUUUCUCUGAAUUUCAAAGUGAAUAAAUUCAACCAAGAACGGGUAAACGACGAGAGUAACUAUGAAUCUAUUAAGGUAUCCAAAUUCCUCGUCAUCUAAUUAUUGAUGUGCAUGAAUGGAUUAAAGAGAUUUGCAUUGUCCCUAUCUACUAUCUAGUGAAACCACAACCAAGGGAAUGGGCUUGGAAGA
rnacentral:ncRNA from 1 species